rnacentral:rRNA from 1 species
GAUGAACGCUCGCGGCGUGCCUAAUACAUGCAAGUUGAACGCUUCUUUCUUAUCGAACCUCGGUUCACCAAGAAAGAAGAGUAGCGAACGGGUGAGUAACACGUGGGUAACCUGCCCAUCAGCGGGGGAUAACACUUGGAAACAGGUGCUAAUACCGCAUAAUACUUUUUCUCUCAUGAGUGAAAGUUGAAAGGCGCUUUUGCGUCACUGAUGGAUGGACCCGGGGUGCAUUAGCUAGUUGGUAGGGUAACGGCCUACCAAGGCGACGAUGCAUAGCCGACCUGAGAGGGUGAUCGGCCACACUGGGACUGAGACACGGCCCAGACUCCUACGGGAGGCAGCAGUAGGGAAUCUUCGGCAAUGGACGAAAGUCUGACCGAGCAACGCCGCGUGAGUGAAGAAGGUUUUCGGAUCGUAAAACUCUGUUGUUAGAGAAGAACAAGGAUGAGAAGAGAAUGUUCAUCCCUUGACGGUAUCUAACCAGAAAGCCACGGCUAACUACGUGCCAGCAGCCGCCGUAACAC